rnacentral:rRNA from 1 species
AGAUUGAACGCUGGCGGCAUGCCUAACACAUGCAAGUCGAGCGGCAGCGCGGGGGCAACCCUGGUGGCGAGUGGCGAACGGGUGAGUAAUGCAUCGGAACGUAUCCUUGAGUGGGGGAUAACGCAGCGAAAGUUGUGCUAAUACCGCAUAAGCUCUGAGGAGGAAAGCGGGGGACCGAAAGGCCUCACGCUGAAGGAGCGGCCGAUGUCCGAUUAGCUAGUUGGUGAGGUAAAGGCUUAACCAAGGCGACGAUCGGUAGCUGGUCUGAGAGGAUGAUCAGCCANACUGGGACUGAGACACGGCCCAGACUCCGUACGGGAGCAGC